UGCUUCGUACAGGGCCAGAGGAGAUCCGUGGUACGGCAGAUACGACGGUCAGAAUCAAGCUUACCGAGAUCCAAACUACCCGUACAGAGAACCGCAGCCAGAACGGCCCAGCUCCCGAACCAGUCAGUACUCUGACAGACCUUCGUCCAGACAAGGCUAUUCUGACGAAUACCACAGAGCAAACCGAAGUGCCUACAGUGAUUAUUAUGCAGAUUAUCCCAAGCACUAUGAUUACAGCGCAUACAACUAUGGACAGUAUGACCCCCGAUACAGAGGAUACUACGAUCAGUCCUACUGGUCCAGUUAUGAUGAAGCCUACAGAGCAAGAGACCCCUACUAUAAUCAGCACAUGUAUCCUCCCAGG